UACGAAGGGUGCAAACGUUGCUCGGAAUCAUUGGGCGUAAAGCGCACGUAGGCGGCUCACCAAGUCGGACGUGAAAUCCCUCAGCUCAACUGAGGACGUGCAUCCGAAACUGGCGAGCUUGAGUAUGGAAGAGGGUCGCGGAAUUCCCGGUGUAGAGGUGAAAUUCGUAGAUAUUAGGAAGAACACCAGUGGCGAAGGCGCUCUACUGGGCCAUUACUGACGCUGAUGGACGAAAGCUAGGGGAGCGAAAGGG
rnacentral:rRNA from 1 species